AGUGAACGCUGGCGGUAGGCCUAACACAUGCAAGUCGAACGGCAGCACAGUAAGAGCUUGCUCUUACGGGUGGCGAGUGGCGGACGGGUGAGGAAUACAUCGGAAUCUACUUUUUCGGGGGGGAUAACGUAGGGAAACUUACGCUAAUACCGCAUACGACCUACGGGUGAAAGCAGGGGAUCUUCGGACCUUGCGCGAGUGAAUGAGCCGAUGUCGGAUUAGCUAGUUGGCGGGGUAAAGGCCCACCAAGGCGACGAUCCGUAGCUGGUCUGAGAGGAUGAUCAGCCACACUGGAACUGAGACACGGUCCAGACUCCUACGGGAGGCAGCAGUGGGGAAUAUUGGACAAUGGGCGCAAGCCUGAUCCAGCCAUACCGCGUGGGUGAAGAAGGCCUUCGGGUUGUAAAGCCCUUUUGUUGGGAAAGAAAAGCAGCAGGUUAAUACCCCGCUGUUCUGACGGUACCCAAAGAAUAAGCACCGGCUAACUUCGUG
rnacentral:rRNA from 1 species